rnacentral:rRNA from 1 species
CAGCCGCCGCGGUAAUACGUAGGUGGCAAGCGUUGUCCGGAAUUAUUGGGCGUAAAGCGCGCGCAGGCGGUUCCUUAAGUCUGAUGUGAAAGCCCACGGCUCAACCGUGGAGGGUCAUUGGAAACUGGGGGACUUGAGUGCAGAAGAGGAGAGCGGAAUUCCACGUGUAGCGGUGAAAUGCGUAGAGAUGUGGAGGAACACCAGUGGCGAAGGCGGCUCUCUGGUCUGUAACUGACGCUGAGGCGCGAAAGCGUGGGGAGCAAACAGGAUUAGAUACCCUGGUAGUCCACGCCGUAAACGAUGAGUGCUAAGUGUUAGAGGGUAUCCACCCUUUAGUGCUGUAGCUAACGCAUUAAGCACUCCGCCUGGGGAGUACGCUCGCAAGAGUGAAACUUAAAGGAAUUGGCGGG